UACGUAGGGUGCGAGCGUUGUCCGGAAUUACUGGGCGUAAAGAGCUCGUAGGUGGUUUGUCGCGUUGUUCGUGAAAACCGGGGGCUUAACCCUCGGCGUGCGGGCGAUACGGGCAGACUUGAGUACUGCAGGGGAGACUGGAAUUCCUGGUGUAGCGGUGGAAUGCGCAGAUAUCAGGAGGAACACCGGUGGCGAAGGCGGGUCUCUGGGCAGUAACUGACGCUGAGGAGCGAAAGCGUGGGGGGCGAACAGG
rnacentral:rRNA from 1 species